GGCUCAACCCCGGGUCUGCAGUGGGUACGGGCAGACUAGAGUGCAGUAGGGGAGACUGGAAUUCCUGGUGUAGCGGUGAAAUGCGCAGAUAUCAGGAGGAACACCGAUGGCGAAGGCAGGUCUUUGGGCUGUUACUGACGCUGAGGAGCGAAAGCAUGGGGAGCGAACAGGAUUAGAUACCCUGGUAGUCCAUGCCGUAAACGUUGGGCACUAGGUGUGGGGGACAUUCCACGUUCUCCGCGCCGUAGCUAACGCAUUAAGUGCCCCGCCUGGGGAGUACGGCCGCAAGGCUAAAACUCAAAGGAAUUGACGGGGGCCCGCACAAGCGGCGGAGCAUGCGGAUUAAUUAGAUGCAACGCGAAGAACCUUACCAAGGCUUGACAUCCACCGGACCGCACUGGAGACAGUGCUUCCCUUCGGGGCUGGUGGACAGGUGGUGCAUGGUUGUCGUCAGCUCGUGUCGUGAGAUGUUGGGUUAAGUCCCGCAACGAGCGCAACCCUCGUUUUAUGUUGCCAGCACGUGAUGGUGGGGAUUCAUAGGAGACUGCCGGGGUCAACUCGGAGGAAGGUGGGGAUGACGUCAAAUCAUCAUGCCCCUUAUGUCUUGGGCUUCACGCAUGCUACAAUGGCCGGUACAAAGGGUUGSGAUACUGUGAGGUGGAGCUAAUCCCAAAAAGCCGGUCUCAGUUCGGAUUGAGGUCUGCAACUCGACCUCAUGAAGUCGGAGUCGCUAGUAAUCGCAGAUCAGCAACGCUGCGGUGAAUACGUUCCCGGGCCUUGUACACACCUCCCGUCAAGUC
rnacentral:rRNA from 1 species